GGAAACGGGUGGUAAUGCCGGAUGCUCCGCACUGUCGCAUGAUGGUGUGGGAAAGGGUUUACCGGCAUGGGAUGGGGUCGCGUCCUAUCAGCUUGUUGGCGGGGUGAUGGCCUGCCAAGGCUUCGACGGGUAGCCGGCCUGAGAGGGCGACCGGCCACAUUGGGACUGAGAUACGGCCCAGACUCCUACGGGAGGCAGCAGUGGGGAAUAUUGCACAAUGGGCGAAAGCCUGAUGCAGCGACGCCGCGUGCGGGAUGACGGCCUUCGGGUUGUAAACCGCUUUUGAUUGGGAGCAAGCGAGAGUGAGUGUACCUUUCGAAUAAGCACCGGCUAACUACGUGCCAGCAGCCGCGGUAAUACGUAGGGUGCAAGCGUUAUCCGGAUUUAUUGGGCGUAAAGAGCUCGUAGGCGGUUCGUCGCGUCUGGUGUGAAAGUCCAUCGCUUAACGGUGGAUCGGCGCCGGGUACGGGCGGACUGGAGUGCGGUAGGGGAGACUG
rnacentral:rRNA from 1 species